AAACUUUCAACAACGGAUCUCUUGGCUCUCGCAUCGAUGAAGAACGCAGCGAAAUGCGAUACGUAAUGUGAAUUGCAAAAUUCCGUGAAUCAUCGAAUCUUUGAACACAAAUUGAACUUUUCAGUAAUCUGGGAAGUAUGCUUGGUUGAGGGUCA
rnacentral:rRNA from 1 species